rnacentral:rRNA from 1 species
AAAUUGAAGAGUUUGAUCAUGGCUCAGAUUGAACGCUGGCGGCAGGCCUAACACAUGCAAGUCGAACGGUAACAGGAAACAGCUUGCUGCUUUCGCUGACGAGUGGCGGACGGGUGAGUAAUGUCUGGGAAACUGCCUGAUGGAGGGGGAUAACUACUGGAAACGGUAGCUAAUACCGCAUAACGUCGCAAGACCAAAGAGGGGGACCUUCGGGCCUCUUGCCAUCGGAUGUGCCCAGAUGGGAUUAGCUAGUAGGUGGGGUAAAGGCUCACCUAGGCGACGAUCCCUAGCUGGUCUGAGAGGAUGACCAGCCACACUGGAACUGAGACACGGUCCAGACUCCUACGGGAGGCAGCAGUGGGGAAUAUUGCACAAUGGGCGCAAGCCUGAUGCAGCCAUGCCGCGUGUAUGAAGAAGGCCUUCGGGUUGUAAAGUACUUUCAGCGGGGAGGAAGGGAGUAAAGUUAAUACCUUUGCUCAUUGACGUUACCCGCAGAAGAAGCACCGGCUAACUCCGUGCCAGCAGCCGCGGUAAUACGGAGGGUGCAAGCGUUAAUCGGAAUUACUGGGCGUAAAGCGCACGCAGGCGGUUUGUUAAGUCAGAUGUGAAAUCCCCGGGCUCAACCUGGGAACUGCAUCUGAUACUGGCAAGCUUGAGUCUCGUAGAGGGGGGUAGAAUUCCAGGUGUAGCGGUGAAAUGCGUAGAGAUCUGGAGGAAUACCGGUGGCGAAGGCGGCCCCCUGGACGAAGACUGACGCUCAGGUGCGAAAGCGUGGGGAGCAAACAGGAUUAGAUACCCUGGUAGUCCACGCCGUAAACGAUGUCGACUUGGAGGUUGUGCCCUUGAGGCGUGGCUUCCGGAGCUAACGCGUUAAGUCGACCGCCUGGGGAGUACGGCCGCAAGGUUAAAACUCAAAUGAAUUGACGGGGGCCCGCACAAGCGGUGGAGCAUGUGGUUUAAUUCGAUGCAACGCGAAGAACCUUACCUGGUCUUGACAUCCACGGAAGUUUUCAGAGAUGAGAAUGUGCCUUCGGGAACCGUGAGACAGGUGCUGCAUGGCUGUCGUCAGCUCGUGUUGUGAAAUGUUGGGUUAAGUCCCGCAACGAGCGCAACCCUUAUCCUUUGUUGCCAGCGGUCCGGCCGGGAACUCAAAGGAGACUGCCAGUGAUAAACUGGAGGAAGGUGGGGAUGACGUCAAGUCAUCAUGGCCCUUACGACCAGGGCUACACACGUGCUACAAUGGCGCAUACAAAGAGAAGCGACCUCGCGAGAGCAAGCGGACCUCAUAAAGUGCGUCGUAGUCCGGAUUGGAGUCUGCAACUCGACUCCAUGAAGUCGGAAUCGCUAGUAAUCGUGGAUCAGAAUGCCACGGUGAAUACGUUCCCGGGCCUUGUACACACCGCCCGUCACACCAUGGGAGUGGGUUGCAAAAGAAGUAGGUAGCUUAACCUUCGGGAGGGCGCUUACCACUUUGUGAUUCAUGACUGGGGUGAAGUCGUAACAAGGUAACCGUAGGGGAACCUGCGGUUGGAUCACCUCCUUA